AUUAAUUAAUUUCACUUUUUUAGGAUGAUUCUCUAAAUGAUGAGACUGGUAUUUCUUUGUGAUCAACUAGUGUUCUUCUUCAACUGGCAGAUAAGAGAGAUGUGGUUGGUUUGCAGGAACAGGUGGUUAAGCUGUUAGCUUAUAUUAGUGAUAAGGACUUGUUUGCAGAAUUCUAUAGG